UUCGCCUUUCAGUGAGAAUGUACCUCGCCUUUGCUUCUCCCCGUGAUACCUUUACAGUUCUGGUUGUCAGAGUCCACACAUGGCGCAUUCCGACUAGCAGGAACUGGAAAGACUGGGAGGGUGAGGUAUCCUUGCCCACCAAGAGCCAGACUCCACAUUCUUGGCACUUAUUUGCAUCGUGGGUUAAACGUACAGAUGAUUGUUAGGCGAAUGCUCACAAAGGUUUGGAAGAUUCUGUCAAUCUGCGAUCUGUUUUUUGUUUCUUGACAAAAGUUUAUGUCAGCAGAGACGGUGAGGUGUUGGAAGCCUGGAGAAAAACAGAAUCCUACAUUCAACCUACAUUCAAAAAGGGGAAGGAGGAGGAUCAAUGAAAUGGCAGAUAUGGAGGACUUGAUUGCCAGAUCCUGCAACCAAGGACUAUAUUGAAUGCAAACUAAAGAAGCAUAACCCAACAUGACUUGGAAGGCACUAGAUUGGAGGAAGUCAGUUUGUUUUACCCUUAUUGACCACUAUCACCUCCAUCAGAUUUUUCCACUUAGAGAGAAGAUAUGAGUCUUCAUAUUGGUUCCCAGUGGAAAUAUGAGCAAACAGAAUGGGUUAGGUUUGCCUUCUCCCUGUAUCAUUUGUCCACUAAAAUCUAUAACCCAACUCAAAUAUAUCAGCAGGAAUUUCUGGUGUGCUUAACAACUAACCUAGCUUUAAAGGAUUUGCUCUUAUUUUUCAAGAGAUUUUUUUCCAUUUUUAUGUUGCUUUCAGAUGACCAAAAAAGAUCCUAUGUACAGUCACACUGACUUUCAUUUUAUUAUGGAAUCACAUUUUGUCAUUUAUCAUUGUAAUUAAAAGGACUAAAGGAUGCAACCCGGUAUUCAAAAUCAGACCCAUGGUUAGACAUCCUUACUACUCUCCCCCCACCCCCACAUCUAAUGUAUUGACAGAAACAGGUGCAGAGAGUCAGUGUAUUCACUCUUUAAUCCUCCAAGGGCUGGAGGAGCAAGCUCGUAUUACAUUUCACACCGGGGCAAGUAUUAGGAUGGAAGUAUGGAUUCUGACUUUCAGGCAAAAUUUUAAAAUGUCACUUCAUGUCCCCAAAUGUAGGUCAUGAGACCUACGUGAGUACGUUCUUUAUAACACAUUGUUUUUCCCAUUGCCUUAAUUAUUUCUUAGUUCAGUUUAUUUGUGUGUUUAUUUGUUCACCCACUUGCCUGGUAGUUCACCACAGUCAUGGUGAUGAUGGUGGUGAUGAUCAUUUUUUAGAAAAAUAAAAGGAGACUUUGGAAGCA